AUUGAACGCUGGCGGCAGGCCUCACACAUGCAAGUCGAGCGAGCGGCGGACGGGUGAGUAAUGUAUGGGGACUGCCCGAUAGCGGGGGAUACCUACUGGAAACGGUAGCUACUACCGCAUACUAUCGGAUAACCCAUAGGGGAUUAGCUCGUAGGUGAGGUAAUGGCUCACAUAGGCGACGCUCCCUAGCUGGUCUGAGAGGAUGAUCAGCCACACUGGGACUGAGACACGGCCAAGACUCCUACGGAGGCAGCAGUGGGGAAUAUUGCACAAUGGGCGCAAGCCUGAUGCAGCCAUGCCGCGUGUAGGAAGAAGGCCCUAGGGUUGUAAAGUACUUUCAGUCGGGAGGCGUUACCGACAGAAGAAGCACCGGCUAACUCCGUGCCAGCAGCCGCGGUAAUUC
rnacentral:rRNA from 1 species